rnacentral:rRNA from 1 species
CGGACGGGUGAGUAACGCGUGGAAAACCUGCCGUAUACUGGGGGAUAACACUUAGAAAUAGGUGCUAAUACCGCAUAAGCGCACAGCUUCGCAUGAAGCGGUGUGAAAAACUCUGGUGGUAUACGAUGGUUCCGCGUCUGAUUAGCUAGUUGGUGGGGUAAUGGCCUACCAAGGCAACGAUCAGUAGCCGGCCUGAGAGGGUGAACGGCCCACAUUGGGACUGAGACACGGCCCAAACUCCUACGGAAGGCAGCAG